AUUGAACGCUGGCGGAAUGCUUUACACAUGCAAGUCGAACGGCAGCACGGGGGCAACCCUGGUGGCGAGUGGCGAACGGGUGAGUAAUACAUCGGAACGUGCCCAGUCGUGGGGGAUAACGUAGCGAAAGUUACGCUAAUACCGCAUACGAUCUACGGAUGAAAGCGGGGGACCGUAAGGCCCCGCGCGAUUGGAGCGGCCGAUGUCAGAUUAGGUAGUUGGUGAGGUAAAGGCUCACCAAGCCGACGAGCUGUAGCUGGUCUGAGAGGACGACCGGCCACACUGGGACUGAGACACGGCCCAGACUCCUACGGGGGGCAGCAGUGGGGAAUUUCGGACAAUGGGCGCAAGCCUGAUCCAGCCAUUCCGCGUGCAGGACGAAGGCCUUCGGGUUGUAAACUGCUUUUGUACGGAACGAAAAGGCUCUGGUUAAUACCUGGGGCUCAUGACGGUACCGUAAGAAUAAGCACCGGCUAACUACGUGCCAGCAGCCGCGGUAA
rnacentral:rRNA from 1 species